AACCGGUGUAUUGCAUUGCAAACUGGGAGACUUGAGUGCAGAAGAGGAGAGUGGAACUCCAUGUGUAGCGGUGAAAUGCGUAGAUAUAUGGAAGAACACCAGUGGCGAAGGCGGCUCUCUGGUCUGUAACUGACGCUGAGGUUCGAAAGCGUGGGUAGCA
rnacentral:rRNA from 1 species